UCUGCAUUCUGGCCUUGACUCACCAGGGCUCCUCAGUUCAGUUCAGCAUGAAGCUCCCUGCUCAGCUCCUGGGGCUGCUGAUGCUCUGGAUCCCUGGGUCUAGAGGGGAUGUUGUGCUGACCCAGACUCCACUGUCCCAGUCCAUCGCCCCUGAACAGCCGGCCUCCAUCUCCUGCAGGUCCAGUCAGAGCCUCCUGCAUAGUAAUGGACACACCUACUUGCAUUGGUACCUGCAGAAGCCAGGCCAGUCUCCACAGCUCCUGAUUUAUAGAGUUUCCAACCGGGCCUCUGGUGUCUCAGACAGGUUCAGUGGCAGUGGGUCAGGGACAGAUUUCACCCUGAAAAUCAGCAGGGUGCAGGCUGAGGAUGCUGGAGUUUAUUACUGCAUGCAAAGUACACAUGUUCCUCCCACAGUGAUACAACCCCGUACACAAACCCCUCACCCAGGAGGCCCAGCUGACCUUGUGUGUUGCUUGUCACGGAGCAGCACAGCAGUCUCGAGUCUGGGUAACAGGAAGAUGCUGGAGUUCUCAGGGUAACAGGUGUUCUUGAGAGCUCUGGACCAUGAGUGACUUGGUUAAACCUCAAACAUCAUCUGCUCAUUGACCUUUCAGCUGAAAGUGACUUUGAAUGCCACAGGCAGAAGGUGGAUAGAGGAAGUCAUCUAGCUAAUGAUGGCAUGAGGAAGUGGAUGUUUUUAUUAUAGAACUGAAUAAAAAUGCACCCCAAGCCUGUAUACAGUC